rnacentral:rRNA from 1 species
GACGGAGGGUGCUAGCGUUGUUCGGAAUUACUGGGCGUAAAGGGCGCGUAGGCGGCUCGUGAAGUCGGGUGUGAAAGCCCGGGGCUCAACCCCGGAACGGCAUCCGAUACUGGCGGGCUUGAGACCGGGAGAGGAGGGUGGAAUACCCAGUGUAGAGGUGAAAUUCGUAGAUAUUGGGUGGAACACCGGUGGCGAAAGCGGCUCUCUGGCCCGGAUCUGACGCUGAGGCGCGAAAGCGUGGGGAGCAAACAGG